UACGUAGGUGGCAAGCGUUGUCCGGAAUUAUUGGGCGUAAAGCGCGCGCAGGCGGUCCUUUAAGUCUGAUGUGAAAGCCCACGGCUCAACCGUGGAGGUCAUUGAAACUGGGGGACUUGAGUGCAGAAGAGGAAGCGGAAUUCCACGUGUAGCGGUGAAAUGACGUAGAGAUGUGGAGGAACACCAGUGCGAAGCGGCUUCUGGUCGUGAGUAA
rnacentral:rRNA from 1 species